AGAGUUUGAUCCUGGCUCGAGGACGAACGCUGGCGGCGCGCCUAACACAUGCAAGUCGAACGGACGAGGGGAGCUUGCUCCCCGAGUUAGUGGCGGACGGGUGAGUAACACGUGAGCAACCUGCCUUUCAGAGGGGGACAACAGUUGGAAACGACUGCUAAUACCGCAUAAUGUGGUUUUCCGGCAUCGGAGAACUACCAAAGAUUUAUCGCUGAGAGAUGGGCUCGCGUCUGAUUAGAUAGUUGGUGAGGUAACGGCCCACCAAGUCGACGAUCAGUAGCCGGACUGAGAGGUUGAACGGCCACAUUGGGACUGAGACACGGCCCAGACUCCUACGGGAGGCAGCAGUGGGGGAUAUUGGACAAUGGGGGGAACCCUGAUCCAGCGACGCCGCGUGAGGGAAGAAGGUUUUCGGAUUGUAAACCUCUGUUGACGGGGAAGAAAAUGACGGUACCCGUUCAGAAAGCCACGGCUAACUACGUGCC
rnacentral:rRNA from 1 species